AGUUGCUGAUAAUGAAGGAAGUAUGAAAGAUGUGGCAUGCCAAAAAGAGAAAAUCAAUUUAAAUAAAUAAGAAUUCUUUGUCGCUAGAAGUAGCUUUAUACCAUCUAUGGUUGAUACCCAUAAUUUUAGAAAAAUAGUUUUAGACGAAAAUAUUUUUACAACCAAUAUCAAUCAUACUUUCUUGGAAGAAGAACUCACACCUACCACAAAUGAAGGUAUACAUCAUCUUUUUUUUAAAAAAAUUAUUUAAUUUAUUUAAUUUGC
rnacentral:lncRNA from 1 species